rnacentral:lncRNA from 1 species
GAAUGACUUAAAUUUUAGCCAUACUGACUGAAUUGAUCCAAUUUAUGUAUGCAUGGGUAGAACCUGGGAGGUGUCUAUGAAAGCCCUUCUCCAAGAAGCCUUUCUAGAAGGGCUCUCAAAAUUGUAGGUCUGGAAUUUUCUUCUAGAAUGGGCAAUUUAAGUGCUUGGAGAUAAUGGUCUGAUUCUCUGGGGGGGGGGAGAUACUGCCUGAAACUGAUCUGUACCAUGAGCUGCAGAGUUCAUUGUGGACAGCAGGCUCUGAAGAGUGUUUCUUAGACCUUGCUGAAGACUUGCAAGGACACAUCAAGCCCACUGCUGCUGGCUGAGGUAGUGGCUGAAGCAGAUGCCUCUAAACCCUCCAUCAGUGGUGAAACAGGCCCCGAGGUCAUUGAUUGCUAAUUGCAAGUACAAGGGGUGAUCUAAACUUUCAAGAUCAGCUGAAAGGCUUCAAGAUCAGAGUUAGAAGGGCGUUCCACGGAGCAGAUGAGUGGUCGUGGUUUCUUCCCAGCAGAGCUAGAACCCCCGGAAAGGUACAGCGGGUGCUCUGGCUGUCACCGCAGCGCUCCAAACCUGUGGCUGAAGUCGAUGUCUUUCCUUCUGAGCAGUGACCGUCUUUCCAGUCCACAGAAGGAGCGGUUCCUCAGACCUGGGGAGAGAUGCAGAGACCUGCCGAUGAAAUCUCCUCACAGACAGACUAUGGAAAGACUUUCUUACCCCUCCCAGGCCUUGGAAAUGACUUGAUGAUCUUUUGGCAUUUUCCCCUCUUCUCCUGAAUACUGCAGGUAGUCUGAGCAGAGGUGCUACUGGUCUUGUUUUUCCUGUUUGAGUAAUUGCCAUUACUUUAAACAGUGAUCAGCUGUGUAGAAUAAUGGCUUUGUAGAAGUGGGGAUCUGUGUGGAAAUGCUUUCUGAAGGGAGCUGGGGCUGUCAUGUGUAAAUCGGUGUGUGGUUGGGUGGCCGAGCUAUGUGGUUCCCGCCCGGCGCGGGGCUCGAACCGGCAACGUCCGGAGCCGCAGUCGGGCGCCCUACCCCUGAGCCGCGCCCCCGGCGCGGGGCUGUCGGGCGGGCGUUUGGCGGGAAGAGAUGGCUCAGGGGCAGCGCGCCGGGCUGGGGACCGGCAGGUCCCC